GUAAAUAUAAAUUCGAAAUAUUUGAUCACUGUUAGUUUCUACCGGCAGAUCAGCACAUUGUUUUUUCUUGCGGUGGAUUUCUUAUCAUUUUCGGGUUAAAAUAGAAGAAGCAAUAAAUUUGAAAAUUACA